GGAGAGGAGGAGAUCAGGAGAGAGGCUGGCUCUGAGCCUCACGCCACGUAACAGCGCUUCGGAGCAAAGGCAGGAUUUAUUGGUUUUCCUGCCUAUUGGUGAGGUUGUGAAGUCUCAAGAAAAGUGUCUUGGUCUGGAGAAAGGAAAUUAAACCUGGAAUGGCUGGAUUGGAAGGGAAAACCCCAUUUUUCCAUUACUUUCAAUAGCAUUUCAGUUCCCAGCUCCCCUGCACUCUGCAGCUGGCACCGAGCACAUCCCAGCCUCGGCACCUGCUGAAAGCCUCACAAAACAACCCGUGACAGCAACAAACCCACAUCACCCAGCUGUCCUCCCACAGCUCAGGGAGGGCCAGGCUCUGAUCUAAAUGCUGGGCCAGGAAGGAGAUUUGCCUGUCUGAGGCUGAGCCCUGGGUGGUGGCCAGCAGCCCCAGCUGCGGAUACAGAGUGAU
rnacentral:lncRNA from 1 species